GUUCGGUGGUGGAGGAAGAGCAGUACAUAUGUCAUUUCAUGACAUCCUCGCUUUAUUUGUUAUCUCUCUGAAAAGUAAUGCAACAGUGCUGCUACCUUGGGUCUAAAGACGAAUCAUUACAUCCAGAUUUGCUCAAUUUUUGAGAGGAUGGCAUCAAGGUGGUGUUAAUUAGACUAAUUUUUCAAAAUGGUUAAGAGCAAGUGGGAAGUACUUAUAUAAAGUUGUUCCAGCUGGUUUCAAUAAUCAUCGUAAUCAAUAUAAGCUUAGUUUCUCUUAUGUGGUCCAGACAGUCAGAAAAGAACUUUAUGACCGUAGUUUCCUUGAUGCAAUUGUUCCCAGGGUAUCUGGUUUUAUAUUAUAACACUAAAUAUCAAGAUGUUGCAGGUAGUUAUGAUGCUACUUUAAUGGCUCAGAUAGUUUAUGUUGUCCUAGGUUUCUGUUCAACGACUAUUGUGUUGUUGUGCCAUGGUGUAUACUUUCCAAAAUCGUACACUUUCUGUUCCUCAAAGUCCAAAGAAAGGCUUGGGGUUUAUGUUUUAGGGAUUCGAUUGGCUUGAGUUAAAUAUAUUAUUGGUCGCUUUUAUAGCUAUUGUUGCAGCAGCCCGUAAACUCAAUGCUUGUACUAUUUCUCUUCCUGCUAGCAUUUGGUAUUCUUCUGGUUCCAACCAGCAUCGCAGGCAGUGGGUUGAGGUUGCUGCACUUUACUACAUGGGAAUGGCAGGCCAUUUUGGUCUUGGUAACACCAACACCCUAGCUACAAUCGAUGUUGUUGGGGCUUUUAUUGGUGUCUUGAACCACUCAACUAUACUUUCUG